AAAAAAGAGACAUAAAUUAUUGGGCUAAGAUAGUGAUAUUGAAAGGGAGAGAGAAGAAAUGCAAUAAAAAAAUAGAGAAGAAAGGUAACUGUGUUAAGGUAUAGUGACUUUGAGCAUGUGGUUCAAAACGUUAAUUAUCGGGCUAAGGUCGUACCCAUUGAACCUAUAGAAAGAAUUAUUCUUAGUUGUAAUGGAAUUUUCUGUCUCUAAGCAUAUGACCAACAAAAAAUAAAGAAAUUUUAACUAUUAAGUGAAA
rnacentral:lncRNA from 1 species